rnacentral:rRNA from 1 species
GUGACGAGUGGCGGACGGGUGAGUAAUGUCUGGGAAACUGCCCGAUGGAGGGGGAUAACUACUGGAAACGGUAGCUAAUACCGCAUAACGUCGCAAGACCAAAGUGGGGGACCUUCGGGCCUCACACCAUCGGAUGUGCCCAGAUGGGAUUAGCUAGUAGGUGGGGUAAUGGCUCACCUAGGCGACGAUCCCUAGCUGGUCUGAGAGGAUGACCAGCCACACUGGAACUGAGACACGGUCCAGACUCAUACGGGAGGCAGCAGUGGGGAAUAUUGCACAAUGGGCGCAAGCCUGAUGCAGCCAUGCCGCGUGUAUGAAGAAGGCCUUCGGGUUGUAAAGUACUUUCAGCGAGGAGGAAGGCAUUAAGGUUAAUAACCUUGGUGAUUGACGUUACUCGCAGAAGAAGCACCGGCUAACUCCGUGCCAGCAGCCGCGGUAAUACGGAGGGUGCAAGCGUUAAUCGGAAUUACUGGGCGUAAAGCGCACGCAGGCGGUCUGUCAAGUCGGAUGUGAAAUCCCCGGGCUCAACCUGGGAACUGCAUUCGAAACUGGCAGGCUAGAGUCUUGUAGAGGGGGGUAGAAUUCCAGGUGUAGCGGUGAAAUGCGUAGAGAUCUGGAGGAAUACCGGUGGCGAAGGCGGCCCCCUGGACAAAGACUGACGCUCAGGUGCGAAAGCGUGGGGAGCAAACAGGAUUAGAUACCCUGGUAGUCCACGCCGUAAACGAUGUCGACUUGGAGGUUGUGCCCUUGAGGCGUGGCUUCCGGAGCUAACGCGUUAAGUCGACCGCCUGGGGAGUACGGCCGCAAGGUUAAAACUCAAAUGAAUUGACGGGGGCCCGCACAAGCGGUGGAGCAUGUGGUUUAAUUCGAUGCAACGCGAAGAACCUUACCUACUCUUGACAUCCAGAGAACUUAGCAGAGAUGCUUUGGUGCCUUCGGGAACUCUGAGACAGGUGCUGCAUGGCUGUCGUCAGCUCGUGUUGUGAAAUGUUGGGUUAAGUCCCGCAACGAGCGCAACCCUUAUCCUUUGUUGCCAGCGGUUCGGCCGGGAACUCAAAGGAGACUGCCAGUGAUAAACUGGAGGAAGGUGGGGAUGACGUCA